GAUGAACGCUGGCGGCGUGCUUAACACAUGCAAGUCGAACGAACCUUCGGGUUAGUGGCGGGCGGGUGAGUAACGCGUGAGAAUCUGCCCUCAGGAGGGGGAUAACGGUUGGAAACGACCGCUAAUACCCCAUAUGCCGAUAGGUGAAAUGAGUUUCGCCUGAGGAUGAGCUCGCGUCUGAUUAGCUUGUUGGUGAGGUAAUGGCUCACCAAGGCUUCGAUCAGUAGCUGGUCUGAGAGGAUGAUCAGCCACACUGGGACUGAGACACGGCCCAGACUCCUACGGGAGGCAGCAGUGGGGAAUUUUCCGCAAUGGGCGAAAGCCUGACGGAGCAACGCCGCGUGAGGGACGAAGGCCUCUGGGCUGUAAACCUCUUUUCUCAAGGAAGAAGAUAUGACGGUACUUGAGGAAUAAGCCACGGCUAAUUCCGUGCCAGCAGCCGCGGUAAUACGGGAGUGGCAAGCGUUAUCCGGAAUUAUUGGGCGUAAAGCGUCCGCAGGCGGCCUUUCAAGUCUGCUGUUAAAGCGUGGAGCUUAACUCCAUCAUGGCAGUGGAAACUGAUAGGCUUGAGUAUGGUAGGGGCAGAGGGAAUUCCCGGUGUAGCGGUGAAAUGCGUAGAUAUCGGGAAGAACACCAGUGGCGAAGGCGCUCUGCUGGGCCAUUACUGACGCUCAUGGACGAAAGCCAGGGGAGCGAAAGGGAUUAGAUACCCCUGUAGUCCUGGCCGUAAACGAUGAACACUAGGUGUCGGGGGAAUCGACCCCUUCGGUGUCGUAGCUAACGCGUUAAGUGUUCCGCCUGGGGAGUACGCACGCAAGUGUGAAACUCAAAGGAAUUGACGGGGGCCCGCACAAGCGGUGGAGUAUGUGGUUUAAUUCGAUGCAACGCGAAGAACCUUACCAGGGUUUGACAUCCUGAGAACCUCUUAGAAAUUUGAGGGUGCCUUCGGGAAUUCAGUGACAGGUGGUGCAUGGCUGUCGUCAGCUCGUGUCGUGAGAUGUUGGGUUAAGUCCCGCAACGAGCGCAACCCACGUUUUUAGUUGCCAGCAUUUAGUUGGGCACUCUAGAAAGACCGCCGGUGAUAAACCGGAGGAAGGUGUGGAUGACGUCAAGUCAUCAUGCCCCUUACACCCUGGGCUACACACGUACUACAAUGCUACGGACAAAGGGCAGCAAACUCGCGAGAGCUAGCAAAUCCCAUAAACCGUGGCUCAGUUCAGAUCGUAGGCUGCAACUCGCCUACGUGAAGUAGGAAUCGCUAGUAAUCGCAGGUCAGCAUACUGCGGUGAAUACGUUCCCGGGCCUUGUACACACCGCCCGUC
rnacentral:rRNA from 1 species